rnacentral:rRNA from 1 species
UACGGGGGGGGCAAGCGUUGUUCGGAAUUACUGGGCGUAAAGGGCUCGUAGGUGGCCAACUAAGUCAGACGUGAAAUCCCUCAGCUUAACUGGGGAACUGCGUCUGAUACUGGAUGGCUUGAGUUUGGGAGAGGGAUGCGGAAUUCCAGGUGUAGCGGUGAAAUGCGUAGAUAUCUGGAGGAACACCGGUGGCGAAGGCGGCAUCCUGGACCAACACUGACACUGAGGAGCGAAAGCCAAGGGGAGCAAACGGG